GCACUCGCGUUCCUGGAUAUAGAAAUAGUGGCUGGGGUCUCGCCUGCUCCGGAGAUGUGUAUCACGGAUCGCGUCACUCAGCUACAGCUCUCUAUGUAAAGUAUGACGAGAAAGCGAUGUGCUCCGCAUUCACAAUGCUUAUGUUACGCAAGGCUUUCAAGGGAUGUGGCCAAAGGACAACCUGCGGAAACUGUGCUCUCAAUCGGCGCUGUGGUCUUCCGAGCAAAGUUGACCUUUGCUGAAGAUCCAAGUGUGACAAACUGAAGCAGCAGACAGCUCCAAGACAUGAUCUGUGCAAGUCACAUUUAGAGGAGCUGCAAA